GCUUUUCUACCUCAGGCAUAGAUUACCUUAGCUGUAUUUGGCAACACUUUUAGGAAUUUUGGAUCUCAAUGCUCUUCAACUUCGUACUUUAUUGGGUCUUUUUUUUUUUUUUUUUUUUUUUUUUUUUUUUGGAUUCGAGCGUCACUGAUGAGUCUUUUGUAGACGAAACGCGCGUCUGGCGUAUGUAUAAAAUUUAGUCCUGGUAUCUAUGUUGAGUUUAUUUACAACCACUGGGUCGAUGCCACUGCUGGUGGAGAUUUAUUUCCCCGAGGGUAUCACAAGCCCAGUAGUCAGCCCUUUUUGUGCUGACAUGAAUUAUCAUUGAUAUUGUUAUAUUUAUAAAUUAACUGUUUACAAAAUUUAGAAUUUUUUGAAAUACUAAGGCUUUUCUACCUCAGGCAUAGAUUAUCUUAGCUGUAUUUGGCAACACUUUUAGGAAUUUUGGAUCUCAAUGCUCU
rnacentral:lncRNA from 1 species